CACGGAGGGAGAGGAACAGGCUGGGCAGGCACUAGGAGCUGAUGUCCACCUGAGUCCCCACAAGACAAAGCCUAAGAUGCCGUUCUCCCCAUAAAACCUUGCAACAAGCAGGACAGAGUGCCAGAGAGAAAAGGUACUCAGAAAGCCCUGAAGGCACCUUCUCCGAAUACUGGCCACACCAAAUUCUGCUCAGCUCCCGGGACUGACAGCAUUGGGACUGACUGCAAUUUCACUGCAAGACUGCACCUGCCUCUGCUGUUGUUUCCAGUGGAGACCCAGAGAGGGCUGGAAUCAGGUUUCUCACAGAAGACAAGAGAUAAUGACCAAAAACAAACUGGUGUCACCCUAGGAGUGCCUGGUGAUUAAGGUACUCAGUGAGGUCAGGAGGCUUCCCACGUAAUGGAACUUCCCAGCAACUCUUAGUCAAUUCAAGCCAACACAGGGGAGGAAGCCCUGUUGUUUCUGUGAAAGGAUUGAUGUCCCUUUGAUUACAAUAUUAGACUAUGAACUCUUUAGGGGCGUGGACCGAGUUUUGUUCCUGUCUGUGUCCCCUGAACCUAACCCAGGUCCUGGCCCAAGUACACACUUGGCAAGUGUUGAAUGAAUAAAUGAAUGAAUGUUAAUGAAUGAACGAAUGAAUAUCUUGGAAGCUGAGCCCCACGAGUUAGGUACAAGAUGCCCAUUAUGCUGCCUAGAAACUCAUAGUUGAACUCAUAAAUUCAUAGUUGAAGUUGGUCUACAUUUUGAACAAACAGACAAGAGCCUAGCAUAACAAAUGUUCUGUGAACAUUAUAUCUAAGUGUGGCCAAUGGAAGCUAUUUUGCAAAUACAAUGUUUCUUGAGACGUUAUGUGGGAUCUGAAGAAAGAAGUGAAAUGGGUCUAAUAAAUGUGCUGUAAG
rnacentral:lncRNA from 10 species